rnacentral:rRNA from 1 species
CCCUUCGAUGCUCUGGGCCGCACGCGCGCUACACUGGCAGAUACAGCGAGUUUGUGCUGCUCCGAAAGGAUGUGGCUAAACAGCAAAGUCUGUCGUGCUGGGGAUUGGUGAUUGCAAUUUUGCCAUGAACGAGGAAUUCCUAGUAGGUGCGGGUCAUCAGCUCGCGCCGAUUACGUCCCUGUCCUUUGUACACACCGCCCGUCGCUACUAUCGACGAGUGUACUGGCGAGUCUAUCGGAGAUGCCUGGCUCUUCGGAUUUGGGUGUCAAAAGUAGGCAAGCCUGUGCACCUGGAGAAAGUAAAAGUCGUAACA